AUACCAUGGUGGGGACACUUCCUCAAUAAUUCUUUGAAUCUCUCCCAAGCAUCACACACAAAUUCAUCCUCCAAUUACUGAAAGAAAAAAAAAUCUCAUUCUGAAACU